GGGGAAGGAGUGGAGGUUGGGUAGUUUUUGUUUGAACAUUUCAUAUAUCCUUAUAAGGAAAAUUGAGAGGUUUAGCUAUAAAACCAGGUUUAAUAUACAAUUUUCUACAUAAGAAAAUGCCUGUACCAAGUCAGUAAUAUAUGACAGUUUUUAUCCAUUCGUUUGAUGUGUUUGAGCUUUUGAUUUUGUCAUUUGCUUAGAGAAUUUCUGUUUAGAAUUAUCCUCAGUGUUCCGUAUAUUUGUUAUUACUUUUUCCAACAACAUUUGGUUUCAAUCUGGUAAUCUAUAAUUAUUCAUGAAAUGUUACUAACAGAUGAUCGACUUCAUGAGGAUUGCAAUAGCACAUUCUACCUUUUG
rnacentral:lncRNA from 1 species